UACGGAGGGUGCGAGCGUUGUUCGGAAUCACUGGGCGUAAAGCGCGUGUAGGCGGCCCAUUAAGUCUGAUGUGAAAGCCCGGGGCUCACCCCCGGAAGUGCAUUGGAAACUGAUGGACUCGAGUCCCGGAGAGGAGAGUGGAAUUCCUGGUGUAGCGGUGAAAUGCGCAGAUAUCAGGAGGAACACCCGUAGCGAAGGCGGCACUCUGGGCCGAUUCUGACACUGAGGAGCGAAAGCGUGGGGAGCGAACAGG
rnacentral:rRNA from 1 species